rnacentral:rRNA from 1 species
UACGGAGGGAGCUAGCGUUGUUCGGAAUUACUGGGCGUAAAGCGCACGUAGGCGGCUUUGUAAGUUAGAGGUGAAAGCCCGGGGCUCAACUCCGGAACUGCCUUUAAGACUGCAUCGCUUGAAUCCAGGAGAGGUGAGUGGAAUUCCGAGUGUAGAGGUGAAAUUCGUAGAUAUUCGGAAGAACACCAGUGGCGAAGGCGACUACCUGGCCUGUUCUUGACGCUGAGGCGCGAAAGCUAGGGGAGCAAACGGG